CAGCAGCCGCGGUAAUACGUAAGGGGCGAGCGUUGUUCGGGAUUAUUGGGCGUAAAGGGUGAGUAGGCGGAUAUAUAAGUCUAUGCAUAAAAUACCACGGCUCAACUGUGGAACUAUGUUGGAAACUAUAUGUCUAGAGUCUGAUAGAGGAAGUUAGAAUUUCUGGUGUAAGGGUGGAAUCUGUUGAUAUCAGAAAGAAUACCGGAGGCGAAGGCGAACUUCUGGGUCAAGACUGACGCUGAGUCACGAAAGCGUAGGGAGCAAACAGGAUUAGAUACCCUGGUAGU
rnacentral:rRNA from 1 species